UCACAUGCAAUUCUCGCCCACUUCUCUCAUUUCUAUUUCUCUCUCUGAUCUCGCCGCCGUUAGGUUUCCGUUCUCAUUACCUGUUUCAAAAUCUGCAUGGUGGAAUCGGUGCAUACCCAUUAGAUUUGCUUCCGCCUCUCUUUUUGAACCUCGAAAUUCUCUUUCAAUUUGUUGAUUUCUUCUUCUGAGCGGUAAUUGUGGGGAUAUCGGUGUUGAUCAGGAGCGUAGGGUUUGUUUUUCCUUUGAUUCAGAUCUCCUUCUGCUUCUUUUGAGGGGGUAGCCGGGGCUCCGGCCUCGGCGGGUUGUAAAGCCCCCUACCUUUACAAACCUUGCCAAAUUCGACCCUUACAAUUCUUUGAUUCUUUCAUUUUAACCCCCUUACAAGCAGAUCGGGGAAGAGAUGCCGGCCCUAGCGUUUUGUGUUGACGCCGCCAUGGCCGCUCUUUCUCCUCCUUCCGGCUAUACCGCCUGGGAUAGCUCUCUUCCCGCGCCGGAGCCAUUCUCCGGCGUACCUCCAUCGACAAACACCGUUCUGGAUGAUGUAUCUGUAUCAUCCCUCACUCCUUGGACGUCAUCCCACUCUAAUGCUCUCUACAAGAUUGACGCCUGGGGAGCGCCUUACUUCUCCGUCAACACAUCCGGUAACGUCACCGUCCGUCCACACGGUUCCCGAACCAUGGACCACCAGGAGAUAGAUCUCCUAAAGGUCGUGAAGAAGGCCUCCGACUCCAAAUCCAUAGGAGGCCUAGACCUCCCGCUCCCUCUCAUCAUCCGGUUUCCAGACGUCCUGAAGGACCGCCUUGAAUGUCUCCAAUCGGCGUUCAAUUAUGCCGUUAAAUCACAAGGGUACAGCUCUCAUUACCAAGGCGUUUAUCCCGUGAAAUGCAACCAGGACCGAUUCGUCGUCGAGGACAUUGUCAAAUUUGGAUCGUCGUUCAGGUUCGGGUUGGAAGCUGGAUCCAAACCUGAGCUUCUCAUGGCCAUGAGCUGCCUCUGCAAAGGUAGCUCCGAAUCCCUCCUGAUUUGCAAUGGUUUUAAAGACGCGGAAUAUAUCUCGCUAGCUUUGAUAGCUCGAAAGCUAUCAUUAAACACCGUGAUUGUUCUCGAACAAGAGGAAGAGCUGGAUUCUGUGAUUGAUAUAAGCAUAAAGCUAGGCGUUCGUCCCGUCGUCGGGGUCCGUGCUAAGCUGCGGACUAAACAUUCCGGCCAUUUUGGAUCGACUUCCGGCGAAAAGGGCAAAUUUGGUCUCACAACGACGCAAAUUCUCCGUGUUGUGAAAAAGCUUGAACAAUGUGGCAUGUUGGAUUGCUUCCAAUUGCUCCAUUUCCACAUCGGUUCUCAGAUCCCAUCGACAUCCUUGCUUGCUGAUGGUGUAGGUGAAGCCGCCCAGAUUUACAGCGAAUUAGUCCGCCUUGGUGCUUCCAUGAAAGUUAUCGACAUAGGUGGUGGGCUUGGGAUCGACUACGAUGGUUCAAAAUCCACUAAUUCUGAUGUCUCCGUUGCUUAUACUUUAGAAGAAUACGCAAUGGCGGUUGUUCAGGCAGUAAAAUUCGUUUGUGACCGGAAUUCCGUGAAGCAUCCUGUGAUUUGCAGCGAAAGCGGCCGUGCCAUCGUCUCCCACCAUUCAAUUCUGAUAUUCGAGGCAGUUUCGUCUAGCAACUAUACAGUUCCAACCAUGUCCUCUCACGACGUCCAGCAUUUCAUCGAGCAGCUCCCUGGGGACGCUCAUUCCGACUACAAUAAUCUGUCCCAGUCUGCUGUGAGAGGCGAGUACGAUGCUUGUUUGGCUUACUCCGAUCAACUAAAGCAGACAUGCGUCGAGAAAUUCAAAGAUGGAUUAAUGGACAUCGAACAGUUAGCUGCUAUUGAUGGGUUCUGUGAUUUGGUUGCGAAGGCAAUUGGAGUAUCCAAUCCUGUAAGCACUUAUCAUGUCAAUCUUUCUGUCUUCACUUCGAUUCCUGAUUUCUGGGGCAUCGGACAACUCUUCCCUAUCCUUCCAAUCCACCGACUUACCGAUUGCCCAUCGAAAAAGGGGAUUCUAUCAGAUCUAACUUGCGACAGUGAUGGAAAGAUUGAUAAAUUCAUCGGAGGUGAAUCCAGCUUACCCCUCCAUGAAUUAGAAGGAGAGAAUGGAAUGAAGUACUAUCUGGGUAUGUUCUUAGGAGGGGCAUACCAGGAGGCUAUGGGUGGUGUCCACAAUCUAUUCGGCGGCCCUAGUGUGAUUCGUGUAUCUCAAAGUGAUGGUCCUUUCGGGUUUGCUGUUACUAGAGCUGUCCCAGGGACGUCUUGCAGUGAUGUUCUUCGUUCAAUGCAUCAUGAACCAGAGAUGAUGUUUGAAACCCUUAAACACAGAAUCGAAGAGUAUGUUCAUGAAGAAGGUGAUAUGAUUGCAGGUGGCAUUGCUCAAUCUUUCCACAACAUGCCUUACCUAAGUGUCGGAUCUUCUUGCUGUUUAACUGCUGCAAGUGGCAAUAAGGGAUACUAUUACUGUUCUGAUGAGGAUUUCACCGCCGGAGGUGAGGUGGUUUCCGGUGAGGAUGAUGAUCAGUGGUCAUAUGUGGGUGCGUGAUGGUGAUGGGUGGUGUUUGUCAGUGAGGUCGUUCUGUUUCUGUUUCUGUUUCUGCAAACUUUAUUUGGUUUUCUUGUUUUUAGUUAAUUAAAGUAGAGAGUUAUCUUUAAUUUGGGUCUGCUCUCUUUUUAUCCGUUAACAAGAUUUAAAAAGAGAGCUGGUGAUCUUUCUGAUAAAUUUGUGAAGAUAAAGAGUUGGGGGGUUUUUUAUGUAGCCCGAUUUGUUAAUUCCCCUUCUCUUUCUUCACCUUGUAGUCUAUUAUUAUUCUCUAUGAACCAUAUACGUACACAUGGUCAGGCUUUUUAUGUUUGAUGGAAGGUAUGUUUUCUUGUCUAUUAUGAUUAGCAAGCAUAAAGCAUAUGAUAUAUUGUUGAAAGAUUUGAAUAUGUUGCGUCUGUUUUGACCUCUUAUCUUAAUUAUGCAAUUGGUACCAACCAUGUGAGGAAAGAAGAUUCGUGGAAAGUGACAAUUGAUUCCCGUUUCCUAUAUUUACACAAGUGGUUUUUAAUUUUACUUGUAUGUCGUGUAACCAUCCAUUUGGCUAAAGUUAAUUUGUUGGAAAA